UACGUAGGGGGGCAAGCGUUGUCCGGAUUUAUUGGGCGUAAAGAGCGUGUAGGCGGCCAGACAGGUCCGUUGUGAAAACUCGAGGCUCAACCUCGAGACGCCGAUGGAAACCGUCUGGCUAGAGUCCGGAAGAGGAGAGUGGAAUUCCCGGUGUAGCGGUGAAAUGCGCAGAUAUCGGGAAGAACACCCGUGGCGAAGGCGGUUCUCUGGGACGGUACUGACGCUGAGACGCGAAAGCGUGGGGAGCAAACAGG
rnacentral:rRNA from 1 species